rnacentral:rRNA from 1 species
AUACGGAGGGUGCAAGCGUUACUCGGAAUUACUGGGCGUAAGGGACGCGUAGGCGGUUUAGAAAGUCAGAUGUGAAAGCCUAUGGCUUAACCAUAGAACUGCAUCUGAAACUCCUAGACUAGAGUGAGGGAGAGGUCAGUGGAAUUAGUGGUGUAGGGGUAAAAUCCGUAGAGAUCACUAUGAAUACUCAUAGCGAAGGCGACUAACUGGAACUUUACUGACGCUGAGGCGUGAAAGCGUGGGGAGCAAACAGGAUUAGAAACCCGGGUAGUCC